AAAAAGGAGCUCACUCCCCCUGGCCUGGUCUGGCCCUAGCCAGGUUCCCUUUUCCAGCCCAGGCAGCAAGAGUGUCCACCUGCCGUGGGGGCUCUGGGCAGGAUAUCAUCGUAUACUGUAAGUUUGCUAUGAGACACUACAGUAUAGAUGAUGUACUAUCCUGAGCUUCACCCCUCAGCCAGGAGCUCUACUGCAGGCCCAGCGCAGGGGAGAACGCCUGGCCAGCUGGGAGCACUUCCAGCACAGCACAAGUUCCUCCCGGGGAGGGAGGGAGGGAGAGAGAGAGAGUGCCCCCCCUCCCAUGAAGGCCCGGCCCUGCGUGUGGCAGCCUCGCCCCUUCAGCCUCUUCCUGCAUUCAGUGCGCUCCUUUUUCCCUGGGUCUCCAGUGUGGGAUGGAAACAAGUGCUACCUUCGCUGGCGCUGCUGCUCUGGAACACCUGCGUGAACAGGCUGCAAGUGGGGAAGCAGCCAAUGGGAAAGACAAGGUUAACAACCAUUCCUCCCGCCAGGCUGGGAGGCGCUGCCCUGCUAAGCCAUGGGGGGCGAGCAGGCUGCGGGGAGCAAGAGGGAAGAUUCCACUGCCGCAUGGGCAAGAAGCAGCUUUCAGAGCUGGCGAAGGCACCUGCCAGGAGGCUGAGCCCAUGGGGUGUCAAUGAAACCGUUACCAUUACUGACUUUAGUAAUGGUAACGGUUCUACUGCCGCCCCAGCAUCCGUCCAGCGAGAGCAAGAGGAGCAGCACCCCAUUGCCAGGGGGAGCAGCACCCCUCCACGGUGCCAGCCUCUAUGGGAGGCCAGCAAUGAGACCUUCCCCCCCCAUGUCCUCUCCAAGCUGUGGGAGGGCAGAGGGAGAGCUUGGGGUGCCCUGCCUGGGGGUCAGAUUCCCUUGGGCCAGACCCCCUCUCCCAUAGUCCCUCUGCCAAUCAAUGAGAAAUAAAGGUGUUUUCUUGGA